rnacentral:rRNA from 1 species
AAUGGGCGCAAGCCUGAUCCAGCCAUGCCGCGUGAGUGAUGAAGGCCUUAGGGUUGUAAAGCUCUUUCAGUGGGGAAGAUAAUGACGGUACCCACAGAAGAAGCCCCGGCUAACUUCGUGCCAGCAGCCGCGGUAAUACGAAGGGGGCUAGCGUUGUUCGGAUUUACUGGGCGUAAAGCGCACGUAGGCGGAUCGUUAAGUCGGGGGUGAAAUCCUGGAGCUCAACUCCAGAACUGCCUUCGAUACUGGCGAUCUCGAGUCCGGAAGAGGUGAGUGGAACUCCUAGUGUAGAGGUGGAAUUCGUAGAUAUUAGGAAGAACACCAGUGGCGAAGGCGGCUCACUGGUCCGGUACUGACGCUGAGGUGCGAAAGCGUGGGGAGCAAA